rnacentral:rRNA from 1 species
CACACUAUCAUUAACUGAAUCCAUAGGUUAAUGAGGCGAACCGGGGGAACUGAAACAUCUAAGUACCCCGAGGAAAAGAAAUCAACCGAGAUUCCCCCAGUAGCGGCGAGCGAACGGGGAGCAGCCCAGAGCCUGAAUCAGUAUGUGUGUUAGUGGAAGCGUCUGGAAAGGCGCGCGAUACAGGGUGACAGCCCCGUACACAAAAAUGCACAUGCUGUGAGCUCGAUGAGUAGGGCGGGACACGUGGUAUCCUGUCUGAAUAUGGGGGGACCAUCCUCCAAGGCUAAAUACUCCUGACUGACCGAUAGUGAACCAGUACCGUGAGGGAAAGGCGAAAAGAACCCCGGCGAGGGGAGUGAAAAAGAACCUGAAACCGUGUACGUACAAGCAGUGGGAGCACAGAGCAAUCUGUGUGACUGCGUACCUUUUGUAUAAUGGGUCAGCGACUUAUAUUCUGUAGCAAGGUUAACCGAAUAGGGGAGCCGAAGGGAAACCGAGUCUUAACUGGGCGUUAAGUUGCAGGGUAUAGACCCGAAACCCGGUGAUCUAGCCAUGGGCAGGUUGAAGGUUGGGUAACACUAACUGGAGGACCGAACCGACUAAUGUUGAAAAAUUAGCGGAUGACUUGUGGCUGGGGGUGAAAGGCCAAUCAAACCGGGAGAUAGCUGGUUCUCCCCGAAAGCUAUUUAGGUAGCGCCUCGUGAAUUCAUCUC